rnacentral:rRNA from 1 species
CGUAGGGUGCAAGCGUUAUCCGGAUUUAUUGGGCGUAAAGGGCGCGCAGGCGGCCACCAGCAGUGGCCCGUGGAAUCUCUCCGCUCAACGGGGAGGGGCCGGGCCAGACGGGGUGGCUUGGGGCAGGCAGAGGCAUGCAGAACGGGCGGAGUAGGGGUGAAAUCCGUAGAGACCGUCCGGAAUACCAGUGGCGAAGGCGGCAUGCUGGGCCUGAAGCCGUAAGGCUGAACCCGACGCUCAGGCGCGAAAGCGUGGGGAGCGAACGGAAUUAGAUACUCCGGUAGUCCACGCCCUAAACGAUGGCAACUCGGUGUCGGGGGUAUCGACCCCCCCGGCGCCUAAGUCAACACGGUAAGUUGCCCGCCUGGGGACUACGGCCGCAAGGCUA